AUUGAACGCUGGCGGCAGGCCUAACACAUGCAAGUCGAACGAGUGGCGGACGGGUGAGUAAUGUCUGGGAAACUGCCUGAUGGAGGGGGAUAACUACUGGAAACGGUAGCUAAUACCGCAUACCAUCGGAUGUGCCCAGAUGGGAUUAGCUAGUAGGUGGGGUAAAGGCUCACCUAGGCGACGAUCCCUAGCUGGUCUGAGAGGAUGACGAUCCACACUGGAACUGUGACACGGUCGAGACUCCUACGGGAGGCAGCAGUAGGGAAUAUUGCACAAUGGGCGCAAGCCUGAUGCAGCAAUGCCGCGUGUAUGAAGAAGGCCUUCGGGUUAUGAAGUACUUUCGGCGAGGAGGCGUUACCCGCAGAAGAAGCACCGGCUAACUCCGUGCCAGCAGCCGCGGUAAUAC
rnacentral:rRNA from 1 species